UACGAAGGGGGCUAGCGUUGCUCGGAAUCACUGGGCGUAAAGCGCACGUAGGCGGGCUCUUAAGUCGGUGGUGAAAUCCUGGAGCUCAACUCCAGAACUGCCUCCGAUACUGAGAGCCUCGAGUCCGGGAGAGGUGAGUGGAACUGCGAGUGUAGAGGUGAAAUUCGUAGAUAUUCGCAAGAACACCAGUGGCGAAGGCGGCUCACUGGCCCGUAACUGACGCUGAGGCACGAAAGCGUGGGGAGCAAACAGG
rnacentral:rRNA from 1 species